rnacentral:rRNA from 1 species
UACGUAGGGGGCUAGCGUUGUCCGGAAUCAUUGGGCGUAAAGCGCGUGUAGGCGGUUCGGUAAGUCCGCUGUGAAAGUCGGGGGCUCAACCCUCGGAUGCCGGUGGAUACUGUCGAGCUUGAGUACGGAAGAGGCGAGUGGAAUUCCUGGUGUAGCGGUGAAAUGCGUAGAUAUUGGGAGGAACACCAGUGGCGAAGGCGGCUCACUGGACCGGAACUGACGCUGAGGCGCGAAAGCGUGGGGAGCAAACAGG